AGUAUGGAAGAGAUUUUUGAAAAGAUAUCGAUAAAUAAAAAUUAGAUAUCCAGUUGCCACGUACAUAUCUAGUGACACAACAGUAUCUCAAGAGAAAAAUGAAGAGAACGUUAUUUGUUAUCGAGCAAGUAUAUAUAAGCCGACGUAACUGACGUGACUAACUCAGUUAUAAUUGGGAAUGGUUGGGAAUGGUGUAACAAACAAAAUACAGCCGUUGGAACGAAGCACGAUGCGUUCUUCGGUGAUACUACUGCUAUUCGCCGCGUUCGGUGCAUUAACUUGCGCAAGCAAACCCGAGGAUGCAUACGCAGGCAUUGCAAUGCCCAUCAAGAACGGCGUUCUUGAAUUGAACGUAAUUAAUAACGUCAUAGUUCUCAACCUUAUAAAAAGGGAUGGCGAGAAAAUGGUUAAUACUCUUCACACGAAGAUUCCAGGACACCAGGAUACGCUGAAUCUUAAGAUACAGCAAAAUUGCGGCAGUCGUGACAGAGUUUGCAUAAACAGCGGCGACGCCUAUCAAGUUAUCAUAUCUGUUUCUAAGGACGGUGAAAUCGUCAACGUAAAGCGUGUGGUUGCCAAUCCGCUCGCCGAACUCAUCGACUGCUAUCAGUUCACCGAGGGCACACAAUGGUUCGGUGGGCCAGAAUUUCGGUAUCAGCACUGGCCGGUGCAACACAUGUACUACGAGGAAGAACCCUAUCUGCCGACGCAUCCGGAAAACAUGGCACUGGCUGAGCGUUACUGGCUAUCCAGCAAAGGUGUCUAUCUCUACGUAAACGAGACGAACCCGCUAUUCCUCGACCAGAAUAACUAUAAAGACAAGAACUUGUGCCUGAUCGCCAAGAACAAGGCGCCCUAUCCACACCGUGCCUCCAUUGAGCUUGAUUACGAGCUUGGCAUCUUUGCGGAUCCCAAGGCCGCUCAUCUACAUGUAGUGCGCACUCAUUUAGGCAAGCCGACAGGUCAUCCCAAUGAACGGAUGAUCCGCCAUCCUAUAUGGUCCACUUGGGCCAGAUAUAAAGCCAACGUCACUGAGGAAGUGGUGGAGUCGUAUGCGGACGAGAUCAUCGCCAACAAGUUCAACAACAGUCAGGUCGAGAUCGACGACAACUGGGAGACCUGCUACGGCUCCGCCGAGUUCAAUCCCGUCAAAUUUCCCAAUGUCACCGCGCUUACGCAACGGCUGAAGGAUAAGGGCUUCCGCGUCACUCUGUGGAUACAUCCGUUCAUUAAUCGAGGCUGCGAACCCGCCUAUUCCACGGCGCUUAACAACUCGUACUUCGUGAAAAGCAUUGAUGGACGCGUCCAGAUGUCAUGGUGGCAAGGCGCAGACUCAGCCACGAUUGACUUCACGAAUCCAGAAGCGACAAAGUGGUGGACAGACCGAUUGAAGCGAAUCGAGCAACUCGGCAUUGACAGCUUCAAGUUUGACGCAGGCGAAGUCUCCUGGUUACCACAAGUGCCGACGUUGAGCGGCUCGCUUGCCGAGCAGCCGGGAAUAUUCACGCACGACUAUGUCCGGACGCUUGCGGCUAAUUUCGACAACAAUAUCGAGGUGCGGGUGGGAUGGCUCAGCCAGGAUUUACCGAUAUUCGUCCGUAUGAUUGAUAAGGACACCAGGUGGACGUGGAACAACGGUCUGCCCACGCUGAUCACAACGCUGCUGCAGAUGAAUCUAAACGGAUAUGUCCACGUGUUGCCGGACAUGAUUGGUGGCAAUGGUUACCUAGAUGGCUCGCUCAACGGUACGGAAUAUCCGUCUAAGCAGCUGUUCAUCAGAUGGCUGCAGGCUAACGUCUUCAUGCCGUCAUUGCAAUACUCCUUCACGCCGUGGGAUUACGACAGUGAAGCGAACCAUCGCUAUUUGCAGAAAGUAUACUGAUUUGCACGCUAAUCAAACAUCAGCAAUUCUAAGCGCGAUGCAGCAGGCAAUCACUGAGGGCACACCUGUAAAUCCACCUAUUUGGUGGGUCGAUCCAACCAAUAGAGAAGCUCAUAAAAUUAAUGACGAAUAUCUUCUUGGAGAUUCUAUACUGGUAGCUCCAGUGAUCGAAGAGGAUGCCAUCACUCGCGAUAUCUAUCUACCUGCGGGAAGGUGGCGUGACAUGAAUCGACAGACAGUCCACGUCGGACCGAAAUGGCUAACAAACUAUCCUGCUCCUUUAGACGUACUUCCAUAUUUCGU
rnacentral:misc_RNA from 1 species